rnacentral:rRNA from 1 species
AAACGAUGUUAGCUUGCUAACAGGCGUCGAGUGGCGGACGGGUGAGUAACGCGUAGGAAUCUACCAAAUAGCGGGGGAUAGCCCGGAGAAAUCCCGGAUUAAUACCGCAUAAUCUCUACGGAGUAAAGGGGGGCCUCCAUUUAUAAGCUUUCACUAUUUGAUGAGCCUGCGUAAGAUUAGCUUGUUGGUGAGGUAAAAGCUCACCAAGGCGACGAUCUUUAGCUGGUCUGGGAGGAUGAUCAGCCACACUGGGACUGAGACACGGCCCAGACUCC